rnacentral:misc_RNA from 1 species
AAAAAACCGAAAUCGAAACCCAGAUUUCCUCCAUGCUAGCUUCUGGUCUGAUUCAGCCCAGCCAUAGCCCUUUCUCAUCCCCGAUCCUAUUAGUCAAGAAAAAGGAUGGAUCCUGGCGGUGUUGCGUGGACUAUAGAGCCUUGAAUUCCAUUACGGUUAAAGACCGAUUUCCCAUGCCCACAAUCGAUGAGUUGUUGGACGAUUUGGGCAAGGCUUCAUGUUUUUCGAAGCUCGAUUUACGG